GCAGAUUUCCACUGAUGAUGCUGUGUUAUCAGCCAGUUUCCCAAAGCCAUGUUGUUCUUUGAGUACAAGUUAACCUGUUUCUGUUUCCCCAGGCAGAACUUAACUAUCAUGCCAUUCACCACCAGAUCUCAGGGGUAGUGGAACAGACAGCAGGGAUCUCUUCAUAAAGCAAAAGAGGAAGAGGCCAUAGAUCAGUGCCCUGGAGUCAACAACUGGCAUUCUACCAACAAUUGUGACAUUUGGAGCCUGGAAGCCUUGCCAGUGACAACAAAAAGGUCCAUAUUUGGAGAUAACACAGUGUGGAGCUGGAGGAACACAGCAGGCCAGGCAGCAUCAGAGGAGAAGGAAAGCUGACAUUUCAGGGAGAAAAUCUAUCAUGCUUACUGGGUUUGGCCUACACAUGACUCCAGACCCACAGUGAUGGGCCAGUGGUGGGAAGAUGCUGCCAGACCUGGUGAGCUUCUCCAGCAACUUUGUUUGUGUAUAAUAAAGGCAAGCUGUUGUCUGAUACCCUUCCCCAAAUGGGCAGACUCAGUCAUCGGGUGGCAUUCACUGCCCACACGCACACCAGCAAAACAAGCACAAAGUAUUUGAGCUGGCAUACUUCUGGAAGGGCAAGGAGGUGAGCUAUUCAUUGCAGUUCAGUAAAAUUGGACAAAAGGGAUUUCCUCCCAGUGACGGGAGGGAAAUUGAGCCAAGGUUAGAUCUUUACUGCUUUCAGUUUGUCCCUUUGCAGCAGCCAAUUUGCAUGAGGCCUAGUCGAAGAUGGGUCCAUUUGUGUCUUAAAUUUCAACAACCUCCAGCCCAAAGCCUGUUACUUAAUAAUUCCAAACAUUGGCAGCAGACACUCAACAGAUAAAAUUACAGAACGAAAGUGCCCUCGAAUUGUGCUGAGUAAUGAAAAUACAUUUUAACCAAAAAUAAACACAUUUUGUAAACAGUAAA